GGCGGGGCUGAUCGCUACAAUGAUCAUGAAAGUGGCUCUCCCAGGGUGAGGCUCAUCCAUUGCACUUUGGGUGUGCUGAUCCCUGUGAUUUCCCCAAAUGUGGGAAACUCAACUGCAUAAUUUAUGGUAGUGGAGGACUGUGUUUACACUUUCCCCUG
rnacentral:snRNA from 1 species